GCCGGGCACGGUGGCUCAUGCCUGUAAUCCCAGCACUUUGGGAGGCCGAGGUGGGCGGAUCACCUGAGGUCAGGAGUUCGAGACCAGCCUGACCAACAUGGUGAAACCCCGUCUCUA
rnacentral:SRP_RNA from 1 species